rnacentral:misc_RNA from 1 species
GAAAACAUUAACUGGCAGUGAUGAACAACCAUUAGAGAAGAAAAAGUGAAACUGUGGAGAACAUAAAACAAAAGAUGAAACCAAGAAUUCAAGUUAAUGAAGAUCAGUUUAUAUUCUACUCCGAAUCCAAUCCAUAUAGAUCAUUCUGCAUGAUCCUAAUGAUUAGUGGUUAAUAUUCAAUUCUGUUUCCAAAUUUUUUUAAAUCAAGGAACGAAAAAGCCAAAUCACUGUAUUAAAUACCCCAGAAUCACAUAAUUUCUUUUGUUUCUAAAGAAAUAAUGUAUCAGUCAAGAAACCCAGUUUGGCGCCAUACGGCAUUCCUCACCUGUCUCAGAUCCCUCCCCUUCAGCGUUCUUCCAACCCCUUCCAGCACCGAAAACGUUGUCUUCGGCGAUUUUCUGGAAGCUCUGGCCACGAUCUCGUGAGGCGGCAGCAUCUCCUCGUCUCCACCGCAGCGGCCGUCAUCGUCGUCAUCCCGGAACUUGCUAUUCCUCUGCUUCGCCAUCGCAAUUGACAGUAACGGCACAUUCAUAGGAGCUGAUUGGUUCAGCUUCCUCGCAUCAGGAACAGACUGCGAAGCGUACUCUUUCUCAGCCUGAUGCGGCCUCGGUAUCAUCGGAAUUGACUUCGAAGACGAAGGAAUUGAAGGCUUGCGAUAGAGGAUAGAGUGGUAAUUAGAGUCCGGCAAAGCCGCGAGAAUCCCGGAGUUUCGAGAGAAAGAUUUGCCGCGGUUGUUGUGGUUAAUGCUUUCUUUGGCAGUUGUGGGGUGAGCGGGGCUUUGUUCGGUGUAGUCAUUGGUCCAGAGAACGUCAUCCUCAUUCAGCUCAUCUUCGUUACCGUUUUCUUCGACGGCGGAGGGGGAGAUGUUAAGGAAGCGGUGGCGAAAGGUGGGGUCCAUGUAAAAGUAGGAAGAUGAUGCGGCGGAGAGUCGCGGAUCGUAGUGGAAGUGGGAAAGUAGAAAUGGACAGAGUAGUUGUGUUGGGUGAGAAGUUUAUUGGUUGAUUUGGGUCCCAACGGCGAAGAAAGCGUGCAUCGAAAUCGUUCUUAUCUCCAUGUUAGCGUGGAAUUUAUCUACUCUGGUCGGUUUCUUUUCGCUGCUUUUCAAGCCCCACUUAUCUUUGUUUGCUUGUUGCUAAAAAGAUUGUUCGACAUUUCCACCAUUGCACAAAGGUUG